rnacentral:rRNA from 1 species
UAGUCCGGAUUGGAGUCUGCAACUCGACUCCAUGAAGUCGGAAUCGCUAGUAAUCGUGAAUCAGAAUGUCACGGUGAAUACGGUCCCGGGCCUUGUACACACCGCCCGUCACAUCACGAAAGCGGGCUGUACUAGAAAUCGCUGCGCUAACCCGCAAGGGAGGCAGGUGCUUAAGGUAUGGUCAGUGAUUGGGGUGAAGUCGUAACAAGGUAGCUGUAGGAGAACCUGUGGCUGGAUCACCUCCUUU